rnacentral:lncRNA from 1 species
AUUAAAGAACUUGUCCACAUGAGCUAAUAGAAGAAACAUAUAAUAGACAUGGGUCUUCUAGCUACAAGAAAUACUAAUACACAGAGAAGUAGACAAAAAACAAGUGAUUGAACAGAAAAAGCAAAGUCUAACACAAGUAAUUCUUAACUACAUGAAAUGGAUUAUGAAGACCUAGAAGAAAACUGAAAUCAUUGUGGUAUGUGAAGUUUACCUGCACAAUGAAGAUUUCAAGUCACACAAUUUUCUCCAUGAAGGUUCCCUACUGGAGGCUGAGGAAAGGAAGGUAAUAAGACGUUGGAGAUUAUCCAGAGAAAUGGAAGACUAAGAAACAAGAAUAGAGGACCUCACCAUAUUCUUAGAAAAUUGUUAUAAAGAAUACAAAAAAAAAAGUCAAAG